rnacentral:rRNA from 1 species
AUUUCUUCGGAUUGAUUCUUGGCUGACUGAGCGGCGGACGGGUGAGUAACGCGUGGGUGACCUGCCCCAUACCGGGGGAUAACAGCUGGAAACGGCUGCUAAUACCGCAUAAGCGCACGGGAUCGCAUGAUCCUGUGUGAAAAACUCCGGUGGUACAGGAUGGACCCGCGUCUGAUUAGCUGGUUGGUGAGGUAACGGCCCACCAAGGCAACGAUCAGUAGCCGGCCUGAGAGGGUGAACGGCCACAUUGGGACUGAGACACGGCCCAAACUCC